rnacentral:rRNA from 1 species
CACGUAGGGUGCGAGCGUUUGUCCGGAAUUAUUGGGCGUAAAGAGCUCGUAGGCGGUGUGUCGCGUCGGCCGUGAAAACUUGCAGCUUAACUGUGGGCGUGCGGUCGAUACGGGCAGACUAGAGUUCGGUAGGGGAGACUGGAAUUCCUGGUGUAGCGGUGGAAAUGCGCAGAUAUCAGGAGGAACACCGGUGGCGAAGGCGGGUCUCUGGGCCGAAACUGACGCUGAGGAGCGAAAGCGUGGGGAGCAAACAGG